AGUUUCCCGGACCAAGAUUAAAUUAAGACAGGAGUAGGCCUUAAUCUAGAAUAGUUAAUCAUGUUUUAAAAAAUGGCUUUCUGAAACACAGAUUAAGUACAGAUUACUAACACCUGAACUAUGGAGUCCUCAACUAAAAUACACUCGAUUAAUUUAAUGCCACCUGUGCAAAUCAGGAUUAGCUGGAUUGAGGUUGCCUAUAAAACAUGGAAUGAACCAAGAAAAGGUUAAAAUUGUAUGCAACUGAGAAGCAAAUGGCAAUGGAAGUUGAAAAGAGAGUACGAUCAAAGAACUUUUCUGAACAUGAGAAAAGUCUCUUAAAGCAAAUAGUUUCGAGACAUCCUGUUAUCGAAGAUAAACUACACACAUCAGCUGUUGAAUCAAAGAAAAGGAAUGCCUGGACAUCUAUUUGUAAUGAAUUUAAUGCAAAUGAACCCACAUCUACAGUACAAGAACAAUACAACAACUUCAGGUAAGAAUCAUUAGUUUUAUUAUGGCUUUUUAAAAUCACUGUUGUAUUUAUACUGUAAUAGUUAUUUAAUACAGGUGUUGUGGAAAAAUAUCAAAAUAAACCUCAAAAAAACUGUUGCUGAAGCUCGAAGAGAGAGGUUUAAGACUGGAGGAGGACCUGCAAAUAAAGACUGUGAUGUGUUGGAUGAGUUACUGACAGGAAUACUGGAGAAUCAGCAACCUUUGGAGAACAUACUGUACCAGAUGAUGACCAUCUGGACAGUUCAGAUGAUGGAUCACAUGCACCUAUAUUAAGAGAAGGUCAAAACAGAACUGAAGAAUUGGAAAGCAGCUUACCCUCCACAUCCUCAGAAGCAAGGGUGGCAAUGUCUGCCAGUACUGGUAACCAGAAGAAAAGACUCAGUGUUCAUGAAAAGUUGGCUAAUGAUUUUCAUGAACAUAAAUUGAAGUAUCUUAAGGAGGAGCAUGAAGAUGAAGAUACUACAAGUAGAACUGGAGAUAAAGAUGAAGGAGAGAGAAAUGCAACAGGCUCAAAUGUCACAUCAGUACAUGAAUCUGUGAAAUAAAUAUUGUUUUA